UUGGGCUUUGUAGCGGAGACAUAAUGUGUUUCCUGUGAGGUUAUAACACUGUACAGUAUGGAAACGCCGAUAUGAUCCAAUAUAGGCCAAGAUGGAUUUUAUGCCUUGAAGAUGGAGGCAAUAUAUUCUCCCUAAACGUUUGUAACUAUUUGGUGCACUACAUGGAACCAACGUCGUAAGAACAUCAGAUCUCGGAGCUUUGACUCAGUAAUGAUAAAAAGAGUGGAUGGAGUAUAGUAAGGUUACUCACCUGAGAGUUGCGGAUAAAGCCGGCAUUGUGCUGAGGAACGUGAAGAACAUAGUUAGGAAGA